UGCAGUCGACGAUGAAGACCGUGCUUGCACGGUUGGAUUAGUGGCGAACGGGUGAGUAUCACGUGAGUAACCUUCCCUUAACUCUGGGAUAAGCCCGGGAAACUGGGUCUAAUACCGGAUACGACCAGUCCUCGCAUGGGGUGCUGGUGGAAAGAUUUAUCGGUUUUGGAUGGACUCGCGGCCUAUCAGCUUGUUGGUGAGGUAAUGGCUCACCAAGGCGAUGACGGGUAGCCGGCCUGAGAGGGUGACCGGCCACACUGGGACUGAGACACGGCCCAGACUCCUACGGGAGGCAGCAGUGGGGAAUAUUGCACAAUGGGCGAAAGCCUGAUGCAGCGACGCCGCGUGCGGGAUGACGGCCUUCGGGUUGUAAACCGCUUUCAGCAGGGAAGAAGCGAAAGUGACGGUACCUGCAGAAGAAGCGCCGGCUAACUACGUGCCAGCAGCCGCGGUAAUACGUAGGGCGCGAGCGUUAUCCGGAAUUAUUGGGCGUAAAGAGCUCGUAGGCGGUUUGUCACGUCUGCUGUGAAAGCCCGGGGCUCAACCCCGGGUGUGCAGUGGGUACGGGCAGACUAGAGUGCAGUAGGGGAGACUGGAAUUCCUGGUGUAGCGGUGAAAUGCGCAGAUAUCAGGAGGAACACCGAUGGCGAAGGCAGGUCUCUGGGCUGUUACUGACGCUGAGGAGCGAAAGCAUGGGGAGCGAACAGGAUUAGAUACCCUGGUAGUCCAUGCCGUAAACGUUGGGCACUAGGUGUGGGGAACAUUCCACGUUUUCCGCGCCGUAGCUAACGCAUUAAGUGCCCCGCCUGGGGAGUACGGCCGCAAGGCUAAAACUCAAAGGAAUUGACGGGGGGCCCGCACAAGCGGCGGAGCAUGCGGGAUUAAUUCGAUGCAACGCGGAAGAACCUUACCAAGGCUUGACAUGGAACGGGACCGCUGCAGAGAUGCAGCUUCCCUU
rnacentral:rRNA from 1 species